rnacentral:rRNA from 1 species
UACGUAGGUGUCGAGCGUUGUCCGGAUUUAUUGGGCGUAAAGAGCCCGCAGGCGGCUUGUCUAGUCCGAGGUGAAAUCUCCCGGCUCAACCGUGGAACUGCUUGGUAUACUGGGCGUCUUGAGCCACUUAGGGGCAACCGGAACAAACGGUGGAGCGGUGAAAUGCGUAGAUAUCGUUUGGAACGCCGAUGGUGAAAACAGGUUGCUGGGAGUGUGCUGACGCUGAGACACGAAAGCCAGGGGAGCGAACGGG